rnacentral:rRNA from 1 species
AGCGUGGAGACAGGUGGUGCAUGGCUGUCGUCAGCUCGUGUCGUGAGAUGUUGGGUUAAGUCCCGCAACGAGCGCAACCCUCACCCCUUGUUGCCAUCAGGUCAUGCUGGGCACUCUAGGGGAACUGCCCCGGUCAACGGGGAGGAAGGCGGGGAUGACGUCAAGUCAUCAUGCCCCUUACGUCCUGGGCUACACACGUGCUACAAUGGCCGGUACAAAGGGAUGCAACGCCGUGAGGCAGAGCCAAACCCAAAAAGCCGGUCUAAGUUCAGAUUGGAGUCUGCAACUCGACUCCAUGAAGGAGGAAUCGCUAGUAAUCGCGUAUCAGCACGACGCGGUGAAUACGUUCCCGGGCCUUGUACACACCGCCCGUCACACCACGAAAGCCAGCUGUACUCGAAGUCGCUGAG